UACAGAGGUCUCAAGCGUUUGUUCGGAUUCAUUGGGCGUAAAGGGUGCGUAGGCGGCGCGGUAAGUCGGGUGUGAAAUCUCGGAGCUUAACUCCGAAACUGCAUUCGAUACUGCCGUGCUUGAGGACUGGAGAGGAGACUGGAAUUUACGGUGUAGCGGUGAAAUGGCGUAGAUAUCGUAAGGAAGACCAGUGGCGAAGGCGGGUCU
rnacentral:rRNA from 1 species